UUAAUGGUAAAACAAAAAGAACUAAUCACAUCAUGUUUAAUGGUUGAAUUGGUAGAUCUUCUACAUUUGAAUGAUUAUUAUUUUGGCUCCAAGCAAUUAUUUCAAUAUAAAUCUUUUAUCUCCCGGAUUUCUUUAAUUGAAUGUAAACUGUUUUCAUCAACAACGAAUUCGACACCACGCUGUUACAUCCAUAGUCAUGUUCCUCAAUGUUAAACACAGUGGAUGCUUGAUGAAGAAAUUUUUAUCCACCUUUUCUUGAUUCAAAUAUAUCUGCACACCAAAAUGCAAUCACAUUGAUCGAGUCAUUGUAAUGUGCUUUUGAAUGAUUAAAAAUCUCUUUGAAUUUGAAAUUCGCAUGUGUACUUUUUAAAAUCAAUACAAAACAAAUAAAAUAUAAUCAAAUCAACAUAACUUUAUGUAUAGAAUUAGAAGAAUUUAAAUAUUGAAAAGGAUUGAAAUUACAUGUGAUAUUUCAGCUUUCUCCACGCUGUAUCAUGAUAGAAUGUAAAUUAUCACCAUCCAUAUUAUGAGGAAAUCAUUCUGUCUUUUUCAUUUUUUUCGCUUUGAAUAACAUAGGCCUCAAUUAAAAUAUUUAAAUCAGUAUUAUAAUAGAAUUUCUCGCUGUAAAUAUCAAAAUUAUUUGAGAGAUUAUGAUUGAAUAUAUAAAAAAUAUUUGUGAUAUCUCAUCUACCUUCGUGUUGUAUCAUGAUUGAAUGUAAUUAUCACCCUUCAUAUUUUCACACAAUUGAUCCGUUGUUUUCAAUUUUUUUCCUUUGAAUAACCACAAUUUCAAUUAAAACACUUUAGUUAGUAUUUUAAUCCAAUUCAAUGCCUUAAAUACAACCCUUAAUUGAGAGAUUUUGUGCUUCAAUUAGUAUAUUUUGUUGAUUUGUUGAAG
rnacentral:lncRNA from 1 species